rnacentral:lncRNA from 1 species
CCCUCAGUUUAGUUGUUGUACUGGUGAGAAGAGAUUCUUCAGCAGGCUCCACUUUCACCAGGCUGACUCCGAGAGAGGGUGGAGCCGUGGACAACACGGGCGUUCCUUUGUCACAUUACGCACGCCCCGCGCUCACUGCUGUAGCUGGCGGAGAGGAGAAAGGAGAGAGGAGAAAGAAGAGAGGUAGAGGCAGUGGAGCUGCCACGCGAGUGCUUAGAAUGGGUCGCGUGCCAGUCUAAUCGCAACAGGUGUUCGGCGCCUCGAGCUGCUCGGAUUCUCUGUUCUGGAAACGCCCGGAUUCAAUAAUAUACUCUUCACCUGCUUUGAAUUUGUACAAUACACUGAGAAAAGUUAAGCUCGGCAUGUGUAGCCAAUCAGCGACGUCACUUCCCGUAUUGAUGACAUAUACAUGGAAUGUGUAGCCAUGUGAUUGGCCAGAUACACGCUUGAUGAUUUCUGAUAUGUUAUCUAUAUCACCAGAUGGUUAUAUUGCAUGGAAAUGCCACUGCUCAUUUUGUGCAAGUCUCCACACAUACAGAGAGACCUUUGUCAUGAUGAGCAUUGAUUGGAAAAAUAACAAGUCCUAUCCUAAAGCAUAUACA